rnacentral:piRNA from 1 species
UAAAACUGUUGAGCUUCAACAAGCUCCAAGAC